GCAAGACGGAAAGACCCCGUGAACCUUUACUAUAGCUUGACACUGAACAUUGAGCCUUGAUGUGUAGGAUAGGUGGGAGGCUUUGAAGCGUGGACGCCAGUCUGCGUGGAGCCGACCUUGAAAUACCACCCUUUAAUGUUUGAUGUUCUAACGUGGACCCGUGAUCCGGGUUGCGGACAGUGUCUGGUGGGUAGUUUGACUGGGGCGGUCUCCUCCUAAAGAGUAACGGAGGAGCACGAAGGUUGGCUAAUCCUGGUCGGACAUCAGGAGGUUAGUGCAAUGGCAUAAGCCAGCUUGACUGCGAGCGUGACGGCGCGAGCAGGUGCGAAAGCAGGUCAUAGUGAUCCGGUGGUUCUGAAUGGAAGGGCCAUCGCUCAACGGAUAAAAGGUACUCCGGGGAUAACAGGCUGAUACCGCCCAAGAGUUCAUAUCGACGGCGGUGUUUGGCACCUCGAUGUCGGCUCAUCACAUCCUGGGGCUGAAGUAGGUCCCAAGGGUAUGGCUGUUCGCCAUUUAAAGUGGUACGCGAGCUGGGUUUAGAACGUCGUGAGACAGUUCGGUCCCUAUCUGCCGUGGGCGCUGGAGAACUGAGGGGGGCUGCUCCUAGUACGAGAGGACCGGAGUGGACGCAUCACUGGUGUUCGGGUUGUCAUGCC
rnacentral:rRNA from 1 species